rnacentral:lncRNA from 1 species
UAUGUUCUCCAGAUUCAUCCAUGUCCCUACAAACGACACAAACUCAUCAUUUCUGAUUGCUGCAUAAUAUUCCAUGGUGUAUAUGUGCCACAUUUUCCCAAUCCAGUCUAUCAUCGAUGGGCAUUUGGGUUGAUUCCAGGUCUUUGCUAUUGUAAACAGUGCUGCAAUGAACAUUCGUGUGCAUGUGUCCUUAUAGUUGAACGAUUUAUAGUCCUUUGGAUAUAUACCCAGUAAUGGGAUUGCUGGGUCAAAUGGAAUUUCUAUUUCUAAGGCCUUGAGGAAUUGCCACACUGUCUUCCACAAUGGUUGAACUAAUUUACACUCCCACCAACAGUGUAAAAGUGUUCCUUUUUCUCCACAUCCUCUCCAGCAUCUGUUGUCUCCAGAUUUUUUAAUGAUUGCCAUUCUAACUGGCAUGAGAUGGUAUCUCAAUGUGGUUUUGAUUUGCAUCUCUCUGAUGACCAGUGAUGAUGAGCAUUUUUUCAUAUGAUUGUUGGCCUCAUAUAUGUCUUCUUUCAUAAAGUGUCUGUUCAUACCCUUUGCCCAAUUUUGAAUGGGCUUGUUUGUUUCUUUCCUCCUUUCUUUUUUCUUUUUUCUUUCUUUUUUUUUCUUUUUUUUUUUUUUUGACUGCAUCUUACUCUGUCACCCAGACUAGAAUGCAGUGGCUCAGUCACAGCUGACUAGCCUUGACCUCCCUGGGCUCAGGUGAUCUCCUCCC